UCACAUGUCACGUCCAAGUCCAACUUUACCAGUUACGUCAAUGGAUGAUUUAAUUCCUCAAUUUGUAUCGGCAUAUGUGUUUGGAGCCACCAAAUAGCAAGAUUUAUUCAUGUUCACUAGUUGCCAAGAGGUGUGUUCAUAAUUCUUGAGGGUGUUUAACAUAAGAGUCAGAGAGUUGCUAGUACCUGAGAAAAAAAAAGAAACGUAUCAUCAGUAUAGUAGUAUAAGUAAACGUGGCACUACAUUUCAUCACACAAUUCUAGAGAAUAUAUAACUCAAGAGGAGAGGAUCACCCAAGUCUAUUAAAUAGAUCGUCAAUCUAUUCGCUAACCAAUGUGAAACUUCAACUCACUCUAACAGUAAACAACAAUUUCCAGGGAAAUUUGCCUCAAGAAAUGACACUUGCGUCGACUCAAGUUUCUUGAUUUAAGUUUGAACAACUUCAUAGGUGAGGUUCCUUGUUGGUUUGGAUUCUUUCACAAACAUGAAGUAACUAAUUGGAGUAUAUCUUGAAGAAAUUGUACACUAUAUCUUGAGCAUCCAUACAUUAUGAUUAUAGAAGUUAGUGGUGACUCCUUUCCAAGUCAAACACUAGUAGUAAUUUUUUUUUCUUGGUCUGCCACUUCAACUUUUUGUCAACCUUUCAUACAUAUUGUAGGAGUAGUAAGUUGAUAAAUGCAGCACUAUUUUUGACUACAGAAUUCUAGAGAAUUAUGAAAGCAAGAUUUGGUUGAUUUGGUGGUAUUGGUAUUGAAUAGAAAAAUCUCCUAAAAGGAGAUCUUAUUGCUAUUUAAAGUCUCAAAACCACAGGUUACUAGUACUAAUAUUUGCACUAAUGGAGAAAGCCUUCACUAUUUUUCUCUUAACAAUACUCUUGUUGCUUCACUAUGUUAUGACCCAAACCAACAUUACUACUGAUCAAUUAGCUCUUCUUUCUUUAAAAUCUCAAAUCAUUUCGGAUCCCUUUCACUUCUUGAAUGAAAGCUGGUCUCCCGCUAUUUCUGUUUGUCAUUGGGUAGGAGUCACUUGUGGUUCUCAUCACCAGCGAGUGAAGUCCUUGAAUCUUUCCAACAUGGCUCUUACAGGCAGGAUUCCCCGUGAUUUUGGAAACCUCACAUUUCUUGGUUCUCUUGACUUGGGAAGCAACAAUUUCCAGGGAUAUAUGCCUCAAGAAAUGGCAUAUUUGCAUCGGCUUAAGUUUCUUGAUUUAAGCUUCAACAACUUUAGAGGGGAAAAUCCUUCUUGGUUUGGGUUUUUACACCAACUUCAAGAUCUAAAUCUUGGAAAUAAUAGUUUCAUUGGUUCCAUCCCUUCUUCAUUUUCUAAUAUUUCCACACUUGAAACUUUGAAUCUGAAUUUCAAUUCCAUAGAGGGUGAAAUCCCAGAAGUGAUUGGAAGUCUUAUAAACCUUAGAGUUUUAAGCUUGUAUGGAAAUAAUCUCAUAGGUUCUAUUCCUCCGUCACUCUCGAAUGCCUCAAGGUUGGAGGCAUUAGAUUUAUCUCGUAAUUUACUUCAAGGGAACAUUCCAGAAGGGAUUGGCAAUCUACACAAGAUGAAAUUGUUGUCCAUACAACAUAAUAAACUUACGGGUUCUAUACCGUUCACAAUUUUCAAUAUUUCUAGAAUCAAAUUCAUUGCAUUUACAGACAAUAGCUUAUCAGGAAAUCUUCCCAAUGGUUUAUGUAAUGGUCUCCCAAUACUCAAAGGGCUUUAUCUAUCCACAAACAAACUUGGUGGUCAUAUGCCUACAAGCUUGUCAAAUUGUUCACAACUUCAAAUAUUGAAUUUAUCAGGUAAUGAGUUUGACGGACGAAUACAUAGUGAAAUUGGAAGAUUGAGUAACUUGCAGAUAUUGUAUCUCGGAUCUAACCAUUUCACAGGUACGAUCCUAGCUACAACAUUAUUAAUUCUUUUAUGAAUACUUGUAAUAUUGAACUUGAACUGCAGGAAUAAUUCCACAAGAGUUAGGAAAUCUUGCUAAUUUGGCGGAUUUAGGCAUGGAGGAUAACCAGAUUAGUGGCUCUAUCCCGAUCAACAUAUUCAAUAUCUCCUCACUGCAACGUUUUGGACUAUGGCGGAACAAUCUCAAGGGAUCCUUACCACGAGAGAUUGGCAACUUAACCAAGAUACAGAUUCUAGAUCUUAGAGAAAAUACAUUUAUUGGUACGUAUUUGAAGUGAUAGCAAAAUUAUAAACUUGUACUAGCUUGAACUAACUCAUUCUUAAUUUCUUUAGGUGAAAUACCCAAAGAGAUGAGCAAUAUGAUGGAGUUGGAGGUACUUAGUCUCGGGUUAAAUAGUUUCAGUGGUUCACUUCAAAUAGAGAUGUUCAACAGUACUUCACGCUUGAGGAUAAUUUCUCUUACAAACAAUAAUCUAUCAGGAACUCUACCAUCAAACAUAGAUUCUGUCUUACCCAACAUUGAAGAGCUUUAUUUGGGUGCCUUAACAAAUCUUGUUGGGACUAUUCCUCAUUCUAUUUCCAAUUGUUCAAAACUUACUAAUCUAGAGCUUUCAAAUAAUAAACUCACUGGCUUGAUUCCCAAUUCUCUUGGAUAUUUGGCUAAUCUACAGUUCCUAAACUUGGCAGCAAACAAUUUAACAAGUGACUCAUCGUUUAGCUUCCUCACUUCCUUAACCAAUUGUAGAAAUUUAACAAUUCUUUUUCUAUCUUUGAACCCUCUAAAUGGCAUGCUUCCAGUAUCUGCAGGGAACCUUUCCACUUCUCUUACAAUGUUUUACGCCAGUUCUUGCAAUAUUAAAGGGCGAAUUCCAAAUGAAGUUGGGAACUUAAGCAACUUGUUAGAGCUUGAUCUUUCUGGAAACAACCUGGUUGGAUCAAUUCCCACAUCAAUUGGCAACUUGAGAAACCUUCAACGCUUCAACUUGAGUUACAACAAACUUACAGGAUUUAUUGGAGAUUUAAUUUGUAAAUUGCAGCAUUUGGGUGCUAUUUACUUGGGACAAAAUCAACUUUCAGGAUCUCUUCCUAAUUGUUUAGGGAAUGUUACUUCCCUUAGAUUGAUACAUCUUGGUUCCAAUAAAUUGAUUUCCAAUAUACCACCAAGUUUAGGGAAUCUUAAGGAUUUAAUGGAGCUUGACUUAUCCUCAAACAACAUGGUUGGUUCUUUACCACCAGAAAUUGGAAAUCUAAAAGCUGUGACACAUAUGGAUCUGUCGAUGAAUCAAUUCUCAAAUGGAAUUCCUAGGGAAAUUGGAGGAUUGCAAAAUCUGGUGCAUCUUUCUUUGAGACACAACAAGUUGCAAGGAUCUAUACCUGACUCAGUGAGCAACAUGGUAGGUUUGGAAUUCCUAGACAUUUCUCAUAAUAAUAUAUCAGGAACCAUUCCUAUGUCUUUGGAGAAACUUCAAAACUUGAAGUAUUUCAAUGUUUCCGUCAACAAGUUGCACGGUGAAAUACCCUCAGAGGGUCCUUUCAAGAACCUCUCGAGUAAGUUUUUCAUCGACAAUGAAGCAUUGUGUGGUUCUUCAAGUUUUAGUGUCCCACCAUGCGCCACAUCAUCAAAGCAUAGAUCAAAUAGGAAAAAAAUGCUUGUUCUAUUUCUUGUGCUGGGAAUUGCACUUCUUAUGCUGGGAAUUGCACUUGUAUUUGUUCCUAUUACCUUUGUGUUUGUAUGGAUAAAGUAUAGAAGAGGUAAAGGUGAUCCUCAACAAGCUGACUCAUUGUCUACCGUAACAAGAGAAAGAAUUUCAUACUAUGAACUGCUCCAAGCAACUGAGUCGCUUAGCGAGAGUAAUCUGAUUGGUUCUGGAAGUUUUGGCUCUGUUUACAAAGGUGUUCUCAGAAGUGGGACUGCCAUUGCAGCUAAAGUAUUCAAUCUGCAACUGGAAGCGGCAUUCAAGAGUUUUGAUACAGAAUGUGAAGUUUUGCGCAGCCUUCGCCAUAGGAAUCUCGUGAAAGUCAUCACUAGUUGCUCCAACCUUGAUUUUAAGGCUUUAGUGCUCGAGUAUAUGCCUAAUGGAAGUCUUGAUAAGUAUUUGUAUUCGCACAACAACUUCCUAGAUAUCAGCCAGAGACUAAGCAUUAUGAUAGAUGUGGCAUGUGCGUUGGAAUAUCUCCAUCAUGGAUGCUCCUCACCCGUGAUUCAUUGUGAUAUAAAGCCUAGCAACGUCUUGCUGGAUGAGGAUAUGGUUGCCCACCUAAGCGACUUUGGUAUUUCAAAACUGCUUGGUGAAGAUGAGAGUGAUUUAUACACAAAAACUUUAGCAACAUUUGGUUAUAUAGCACCAGGUACGUCUCUUUGUUUUUGCUAAUUUGAACAUUGAUUUUUCCUCUUAUUCUUUUUUUUCCAAUCAAGAAAGUAUAUUGCAUCUUUUAACUAAUUGUUUGACUGUAGAGUAUGGGCUGGAUGGACUGGUGUCAAUAAAAUGUGAUGUCUAUAGUUACGGGAUCAUGUUGCUGGAAACAUUUACUAGGAGAAAGCCUAGUGAUUUUGAGGGAGAUCUUAGCUUGAAGCAAUGGGUGAGUUAUUCACUCCCAGAGGCAGUAAUGGACGUUAUGGAUGCCAACUUGGUUACACCAAUGGAUAAUCGCUUACAGAAGGAGUUAGAUAUCGUGGCAUCAAUCCUGAAAGUAGCAUUAGAUUGUUGUGCUGAAACUCCGACAAGAAGGACAAACAUGAAAGAUGUUGUAGGGAUGCUACAGAAGAUCAAGAUUCAACUUCUUGCAUGCUGAGCAUGUUCUCUGAAUCUCUUGUUCCGAAUCGAUCACUUUUUUUGUUUUGUUUUAGCACUUGAUUUGUGCAUGAUUCUGUUUUCAGAAAUGCUAGUUGGUUGCAAUAAAUGUCACUGUUUCCUCUUAAAAACUAAAACCAAAUUGAUCCUCUUGAAAAUCUUGAAGGAGAAUGAUCAUUUUGUAAAUUGUUAGAGGAAUAAACUAUAUGAAUAGAAGUAGGCAAGUAAUUUAUUAAAUGUUUUACAUGGGAAACACUAAGACAUCAAGACAACAAACAAAAAGGGCAAUGACAAAAAAUGCAUUCGUGCAAGCUAUAUAUGAAGAAGGAUCUCAUCCAAGGUUGUAUGUAAUUUGUAAUGCAGGCAAACUACUCGACCUACACAAAAUCGUACAUUGUUGAACACUUAAGACUUGGUAGAAAACACAAAACAAUUUGCAGAAAUUCACUGAGGCAAAACGUCGAACAUGUUGCGGGCAACAAAUCAUGCAGUAAGCUACACAUUCAUAUACUAACUGCUUUAUCAGUGUCUUGAAAAUAAUGGAUAGAUUUCAUACCUGAGACCUGAGUGAGUGCUUGAAACAAGGAAGGGAAAAUCACUUGCUAAAACUCAACAAAUAACCACUUUUCAGCUCCUGCAAUUGAAAAAUAAUGAUUCAAAGUGUUCGUCUUGAAUAUUUUGUUAGCCUCUUAAUAAUAUUUUUUUUAAAAUGACCUUUUAACUUUGAAAAUAAUUGCUUGAAAAUUAGAAUAACAACUUAUACCUCAUGAGCAACAAUUUAUACUAUUUCACUGAGUAGCUUUGGUUAUGUGAUUUCAUCUCGUGAUUUGAGUCAUUUGAUAAAAUCUGAUUUUGAACUUGCAAUUCCAUCUCAUGAUUUGGGAUGACAUCUCAA
rnacentral:lncRNA from 1 species